UGUAAUUAAAACCACAUGUCUUUGUACAGAGACUCUUAUCUGAGUUAUUUCACAUCAGGUCUCUUAUCAAAUCUCAAACACAAUCGGAAUGUCGAAACAACACGGUCUUGUUAUUCUAUUCUCUUUGUUGGCAGCAACAGAGGGAACAGAUUGUCCUGAUGGAUGGCUGGCAUUUGAUUGCUCGUGCUACUUGUUUCCGAAAACACCCGCGCGCUUCUGGGAAGCUGUGCACUACUGUCAGAUACAUGGUGGGAACCUUAUCCACGUUGAUUCAGACAUGGAAAAUUACUUCAUUAAAAAUUGUCUACGAGGUGUGCGCCGACCAAAUGGUAUGACAUUAUAUUACAGUAUUUAUUUGUAAUCAAAGUGACCAGUUUCUGGUUAGCGACU